AUGAACGCUGGCGGCGUGCUUAACACAUGCAAGUCGAACGAAGCACCUUGAUUCGAUUCUUCGGAUGAAGAUCUUGGUGACUGAGUGGCGGACGGGUGAGUAACGCGUGGGUAACCUGCCUCAUACAGGGGGAUAACAGUUAGAAAUGACUGCUAAUACCGCAUAAGCACACGUGAUCGCAUGAUCGUGUGUGAAAAACUCCGGUGGUGUGAGAUGGAUCCGCGUCUGAUUAGCCAGUUGGCGGGGUAACGGCCCACCAAAGCGACGAUCAGUAGCCGACCUGAGAGGGUGACCGGCCACAUUGGGACUGAGACACGGCCCAAACUCCUACGGGAGGCAGCAGUGGGGAAUAUUGCACAAUGGGCGAAAGCCUGAUGCAGCGACGCCGCGUGAGUGAAGAAGUAUUUCGGUAUGUAAAGCUCUAUCAGCAGGGAAGAAAAUGACGGUACCUGACUAAGAAGCCCCGGCUAACUACGUGCCAGCAGCCGCGGUAAUACGUAGGGGGCAAGCGUUAUCCGGAUUUACUGGGUGUAAAGGGAGCGUAGACGGCGAAGCAAGUCUGAAGUGAAAACCCAGGGCUCAACCCUGGGAGUGCUUUGGAAACUGUUUUGCUAGAGUGUCGGAGAGGUAAGUGGAAUUCCUAGUGUAGCGGUGAAAUGCGUAGAUAUUAGGAGGAACACCAGUGGCGAAGGCGGCCUGCUGGACGAUGACUGACGUUGAGGCUCGAAAGCGUGGGGAGCAAACAGGAUUA
rnacentral:rRNA from 1 species